UUAGUACCCGGAGGAAGAGAAAGAAAAAUCGAUUCCCUGAGUAGCGGCGAGCGAAACGGGAAGAGCCCAAACCAAUAAGCUUGCUUAUUGGGGUUGUAGGACACUCUGUACGGAGUUACAAAAGAAUCUGUUAGACGAAUAACCUGGAAAGGUUAAUCAUAGAAGGUAAUAAUCCUGUAGUCGAAAACAAAUUCUCUCUUGAGUGGAUCCUGAGUACGACGGAGCACGUGAAAUUCCGUCGGA
rnacentral:rRNA from 1 species